UCUACACAUGCAAGUCGAACGAUGAACCACUUCGGUGGGGAUUAUUGGCGAACGGGUGAGUAACACGUGGGCAAUCUGCCCUGCACUCUGGGACAAGCCCUGGAAACGGGGUCUAAUACCGGAUACUGACCCUCGCAGGCAUCUGCGAGGUUCGAAAGCUCCCGCGGCGCAUGAUGAGCCCGCGGCCUAUCAGCUUGUUGGUGAGGUAAUGGGUCACCAAGGCGACAACGGGUAACCGGCCUGAGAGGGCGACCGGCCACACUGGGACUGAGACACGGCCCACACUCCUACGGGAGGCAGCAGGGGGGAAUAUUGCACAAUGGGCGAAAGCCUGAUGCAUCGACCCCCCGUGAGGGAUGACGGCCUUCGGGUUGUAAACCUCUUUCAACAGGGAAGAAGCGAAAGUGACGGUACCUGCAUAAAAAGCGCCGGCUAACUACGUGCCAGCAGCCGCGGUAAUACAUACGGCGCAAGCGUUGUCCGGAAUUAUUGGGCGUAAAGAGCUCGUAGGCGGCUUGUCACGUCGGUUGUGAAAGCCCGGGGCUUAACCCCGGGUCUGCAGUCGAUACGGGCAGGCUAGAGUUCGGUAUGGGAGAUCGGAAUUCCUGGUGUAGCGGAGAAAUGCGCAGAUAUCAGGAGAAACACCGGUGGCGAAGGCGGAUCUCUGAGCCCAUACUGACACUGAGGAGC
rnacentral:rRNA from 1 species